rnacentral:rRNA from 1 species
GACGAACGCUGGCGGCGUGCUUAACACAUGCAAGUCGAACGGAAAGGCCCUGCUUUUGUGGGGUGCUCGAGUGGCGAAAGGGUGAGUAACACGUGAGUAACCUGCCCUUGACUUUGGGAUAACUUCAGGAAACUGGGGCUAAUACCGGAUAGGAGCUCCUGCUGCAUGGUGGGGGUUGGAAAGUUUCGGCGGUUGGGGAUGGACUCGCGGCUUAUCAGCUUGUUGGUGGGGUAGUGGCUUACCAAGGCUUUGACGGGUAGCCGGCCUGAGAGGGUGACCGGCCACAUUGGGACUGAGAGACGGCCCAGACUCCUACGGGGGGCAGCAGUGGGGAAUAUUGCACAAUGGGCGGAAGCCUGAUGCAGCAACGCCGCGUGCGGGAUGACGGCCUUCGGGUUGUAAACCGCUUUCGCCUGUGACGAAGCGUGAGUGACGGUAAUGGGUAAAGAAGCACCGGCUAACUACGUG